rnacentral:tRNA from 4 species
GCGGGUAUGGUUCAGUGGUAGAACAACUGGUUGCCAAUCAGUUGACGCGAGUUCGAUUCUCGCUACCCGCACCA